UGGGGAAUCUUCCGCAAUGGACGAAAGUCUGACGGAGCAACGCCGCGUGAGUGAUGACGGCCUUCGGGUUGUAAAGCUCUGUUAAUCGGGACGAAAGGCCUUCUUGCGAAUAGUUAGAAGGAUUGACGGUACCGGAAUAGAAAGCCACGGCUAACUACGUGCCAGCAGCCGCGGUAAUACGUAGGUGGCAAGCGUUGUCCGGAAUUAUUGGGCGUAAAGCGCGCGCAGGCGGAUCAGUCAGUCUGUCUUAAAAGUUCGGGGCUUAACCCCGUGAGGGGAUGGAAACUGCUGAUCUAGAGUAUCGGAGAGGAAAGUGGAAUUCCUAGUGUAGCGGUGAAAUGCGUAGAUAUUAGGAAGAACACCAGUGGCGAAGGCGACUUUCUGGACGAAAACUGACGCUGAGGCGCGAAAGCCAGGGGAGCGAACGGGAUUAGAUACCCCGGUAGUCCUGGCCGUAAACGAUGGGUACUAGGUGUAGGAGGUAUCGACCCCUUCUGUGCCGGAGUUAACGCAAUAAGUACCCCGCCUGGGGAGUACGACCGCAAGGUUG
rnacentral:rRNA from 1 species